UUUUUGUAGUUGAAUAACAACGGUGGUUUUUCAGAUCACAGGUUUUGGUUUAAGGCCAAAUAAAAAUA
rnacentral:tRNA from 1 species